UACGGAGGAUGCGAGCGUUAUCCGGAUUUAUUGGGUUUAAAGGGUGCGCAGGCGGAUUUUUAAGUCAGCGGUCAAAUCGUGGGGCUCAACCCCAUCCAGCCGUUGAAACUGGGGAUCUAGAGUGUGCGAGAGGUAUGCGGAAUGCGUGGUGUAGCGGUGAAAUGCAUAGAUAUCACGCAGAACCCCGACUGCGAAGGCAGCAUACCGGUGCACAACUGACGCUCAGGCACGAAAGCGUGGGUAUCGAACAGG
rnacentral:rRNA from 1 species